AACUGAUACUACCUGCGGGAACCUGCGGAAGGAUCAUUACUGAAGUGAUUUGGGGAUGUUGCUGGCCCUCUCUCAAGGGGGGGCACUGUGCACUCCUCGAAACAAUUCACGAUUUCCAUCACACCCCUUGUGCACACCUUGUAGGCACCCAAACCCACCUCCGGGUGGUGGGGUCCUAUGUAUUCCUUCAUCUCACACUCUGUUGAAUGGUGCCAUGGGACGCAUCUAAAGGAUUAUUUG
rnacentral:misc_RNA from 1 species